GACGAACGCUGGCGGCGCGCCUAACACAUGCAAGUCGAACGGAGCUGAGAGAAGCUUGCUUUUCUUAGCUUAGUGGCGAACGGGUGAGUAACGCGUGAGUAACCUGCCCUGGAGUGGGGGACAACAGUUGGAAACGACUGCUAAUACCGCAUAAGCCCACGAUCCGGCAUCGGAUUGAGGGAAAAGGAUUAUUCGCUUCAGGAUGGACUCGCGUCCAAUUAGCUAGUUGGUGAGGUAACGGCCCACCAAGGCGACGAUUGGUAGCCGGACUGAGAGGUUGAACGGCCACAUUGGGACUGAGACACGGCCCAGACUCCUACGGGAGGCAGCAGUGGGGGAUAUUGCACAAUGGGGGAAACCCUGAUGCAGCGACGCCGCGUGGAGGAAGAAGGUUUUCGGAUUGUAAACUCCUGUCGUUAGGGACGAUAAUGACGGUACCUAACAAGAAAGCACCGGCUAACUACGUG
rnacentral:rRNA from 1 species